rnacentral:lncRNA from 1 species
AUGGUGGCGGGGCUGCACACCAGGGCUGGUGCUCCUGCCUGGAGGCUGGACAUGACCUCAGUGUCGUUAGUGAGGGCUGGGCUGACCCUUGCGCACUGCAGUGCUGAGCAGGCCCAGGGACCUUAUGACCCACCGUGUGGCAGAUGUAAGAGUGAGGCCCAGGAGUGUGGCUUACACAAGGUCCUUCAGCAGCUGUCACCCAGGGUGAAGAGAACCUUCUACCAGAACGUGUCCUCUCCAGCGGCGUUCUUCUGGCCCCUCUACAGUGUGCGCAAUGGGAACUUCCAGCUGUCUGCACCCACCAUGUGCCUCGCCUCCUCCUUCUGCGAAUGUGUCUGUCCUGUGGCCGUGGGGAAGGGUCUGUGCUGUGUGCACUGCCCUCGGGGCUCUCACUGCCUCUGGGCUCCUGCUCUGCCUGGUUCCCUGGUCCCCCCGGAUCGCAUGCCAGAACCACAUCUGAGGAGUGAGCUCUGCACUUCCCCCUCUGUGGCCCUGUUGGGCUCCCACAGCCCAGGAACCAACUUGCAUGGGGGCCCACAGAGCCGGUGUGCUGCUGAGCCGGGACUGUGCUGGCGCCCCAUGAGGAGCCUCAGAACCCUGGGUCAGGAGGCCACUGCACUGCUCACCUGUGGCCCAGCGCAUCCUUGGAAAUCUGUGGGCCUGGAGGAGGAGCAGGAAGGCACUGGGACCUGAGCUCAGAGGAUGUGCUGUCAGCAGGGUGUGCGGAGUGGAGGGCACAGCCACUUGCCUGUCUGCCACGGGAGGACUGGGCCCCCAUAUCCCCCACCAGGCCAUGUUACUCCCUUCCGUCCUCAGCAAGGCUCGGUCCUGGAUGUUCUAGGUCCCUGACUUGCCAGAUGAAUCGUCCGUUUUGGGAAAGUGGACUUAAGUCUCCACAGCCCUUGUCUGGGACUGAACCUCCUGAGAACGGGCCCCUAGCAGUGGUCGGAAGUCCUGUCUGGAUGGAGGCUCAGGGGCAGCUUCAGGGAGGAAGGAUCCCUCUGCUCGGUGCCUGUGGGGAGGAGUCUCUACCCUCAGCAUCCUGCCCACAGGUUCCUCCGCUGUCCCUUUUCUUUAUCCCUGGCCUCUCUGAGAAGGGGGGUGUGGUCUCUCAGCUGUUCCGCCAUCAUCCCCUUAAAGGGCCAGCCUGGGCCCAUUGGACACAGGUAAGGCACCAUGACCACCUGGUGUGAGCUCUCUGUGCCUUCCUGACGCCCUUUUUUAGAGAUUAAAAGGGGCUUCACGGCUGUUCCAAACUGUUGAUGGCUGGGAAGAGGGGCCAGAGGAGGAGUGAGGGAUGAGGUUUGGUCAGCCCUAGGCCUUCUGGGCUCUAGGGACAGCACGGUGGAUGCUCAAUGACAGUUUUGGGGACAGUAGGGUGGAGGCUCGGGGACAGCUCUGGGCUGAGGUCAGGGUGGAGGCUCAGGGGCAGCUCGGGGACAGCAGGGUGGACAUUCAGGGACAGUUCCUGGGAGGCCAGCGCCCUCAUUCCUCCUUGUCCUCAUCCUCCCACUUGCUCCUGGAAACUGAGAGCUGAGGCUGGAGCUCCCAGACAGUCAGUGCUGGAAGUGACCAUCCAGCAGUGAUGGUGGCCUGUGAAGGGUCCUGCUUCUGUCCCCAGCCUCUCAUGGGGUGGGCUUGGGGAGAAGCUGUGGUCUGGAGAGAGUGGCAGAUGGAGCAGAACGUGCCUGCAUUUGUUUCCUAGAGCCGCCAUAACAAAGUGCCACAAAAGGGGUAGCUUAGAACCAUGGAGAUUUGUUGUCUCUGUUCUGAAGUCCAGAAGUUGGAAAUAAAGAUGUUGGCAGUGUUCCCGACUACAUGUUCUUAGGCUCCCAUGAAACAGAAGUUGAUACCAGGCCAAGCAAGUUUCCCAGACAAGGCUUUAUUAAGUCUUAUGCCCUAAAGGUUGUCCAGGAGGAAGGAUUCUUGGCUGGCUCCCCAAGGGGAGUGCACUGUGGUGUCUUGAGGGUGACAUGCAUGAUUUAUGAGUUAGGUAAGUGUCAUUACACAUAUGGGGUGGAGUGAAGGGUGCUCAGUUGCAGUGAAGAAUCACGCUAACACAAACGCUGUGUGAUUGGAAAAUAGCAGAAAAGCCCAUACCUGGGUGGGGAUUUUAGUGUUAUAACGAGGCCAGGGGUAAGGAUCGGUCAUUCUCCUGGCCUCAUGCACAAGCGGGUGAUCGAGUUAACUCCCUUGAGUAAGACUUAUGGCGGGAUGCUGCUAAUCUUAGUUUAUUUCAGACAGGUGGCAAGGUCUGGCCAGCGAGUGUGGCACCUGCAGCGAGUAUGGUGCUGCAAGCUCUGGGGGUCAGUGGGCACAUAUGGAACAACGCGUUAGUGGGGGUGGGCCGAGUCCCAUUUCUACUCUGUCUCAGCAGGCCAUGCUCCCUCUGAAGGCACUAGGGAAGGAUGCAUUUCGGGCCUCUCUUCAGCUUCUGUUAGUUUCUUGGCUUGUGACAGCAAAACUCCACUUCUUUUUUAAGAUAGCGUCUUGGUCUGUCGCCCAGGCUGAAGUGCAGUGGCGUGAUCUCAGUUCUCUGCAACUUCUGCCUCCCCGGUUCAAGUGAUUCUCCUGCCUCCACCUCCCAAGUAGCUGGGAUUACAGGUGCAAGCCACCACGCCCAGCUAAUUUUUGUAUUUUUAGUAGAUACAGGAUUUUGCCAUGUUGGCUAGGCUGGUCUCAAAUUCCUGGCCUCGAGCGAUUGCCUGCCUCCCCUUCCCAAAGUGCUGAGAUUACAGACAUGAGCCACCGCACCCGGGCAUGUCAUCUGUAUCUCUUUUUUGGUGAGGUGUCUAUCUUGUAAUUGGGCUUUUUUCUUUUUGUUAUUAGAAUUUGUUUGUUAUUUUACACACAAGUCUUUUUUCAGGUUUCUUUUUAAAAUAUUUUCUCUCAGUCUGUGGCUUGUUUUUUGAUUCUCUUAACGGGAUACAUCAGAGAGCAGUCAUUUUAAAUUUUAAUAAAGUCCACAUUAUCAUUUUUUUCUUUUAUGAACUGGCUUUUGGUAUUGUAUCUAAAGACUCAUCACCAAUCCAAAGUCAUGUGGAUUUUCUUCUAUAACUUUUACAAUUUUACAUUUGAAAAUGUAAGUCUACAGACUAUCCUGAGCGAUUUUUUGGGGGUGAGCUAUGAAGUUUGUAUCUACGUUGCUCGGGUUUGUCUUGAACUCCUGGGCUCAAGUGAUCCUUACAGCUCAGCCUCCCACAGUACUGGGAUUACAGGCGUGAGCCACUGCACCUAGCCUGGAGUCUCUUUCUUCCUUCCUUCUCCCUUCCCCUUCCCCUUACUUAUUUCCUUUUUCUUUCCUGGUUUCUUUUUAUUUAUUUUUUUCUUUUUCUUUUUGAUACUGAGUCUCGCUGUGUCGCCAGGCUGGAGUGCAGUGGCGUGAUCUCGGCUCAUUGCAACCUCCGCCUCCCGGGUUCAAGGGAUUCUCCUGCCUCGGCCUCCGGAGUAGCUGGGACUACAGGCGCCCGCCACCAUGCUCAGAUACUUUUUGUAUUUUUAGUAGAGGCGGGGUUUUACCAUGUUGGCCAGAAUGGUCUUGAUUUCCUGACCUCAAGUGAUCCGCCAGACUCGGCCUCCCGAAGUGCUGGGAUUACAGGCGUGAACUGGCCGCCGUCUUUGAUUGCUAUCUCCAUGCGUUCCGGUCAAGGCACUGGACGGUGGGCUCCGUUUCAGUUGAAAUUUCCAAAAUCACGGCCUGGAAAAAUCAAGGCGCUGAUUUUCAGAGAUUCCCCACAGCUGCCGCGAGGGGGCGCCCGGCCCUGCCAAACCCGGAGCGCCGCGCGCCAGAGGCGUGUCCGAUCCGCACGGCGGCGUCCUGGGGCGUCCCCUGUGAAGACGGAGCUUUCUCUCCUCAGGACCCGCCGGGGAGGGGCCGGGGCUUGGGACACCUGGGGACACCUGGGGCCGCGUCCGCUGUGAGGACAGGGAGACGCUGCUGCAGCUCCGGGACACCCGGGGCCGCCGAGGCAAAGGUGAGGAAAAGGCUUCCGCCCCCGCUGUGAGCGCAGCGGAGCGAGCGCGGCGGCGUUUCCCGUCGGGCUGUUUGUAUCCAGACUUCACGUUGAACAAGCUCCCUUCAUGGAGGCCUGGGCGGGUCACCCCCAGCGCGAGGCCAAGAUGCGGGUCACGAAGGCGAGUUUGUUUCUGGAGAGGAGGAGGAACGCGGAGACCCCGUGGGGCGGUCGGGAUGUUGGGGACUGGCGGGCGCCACAGCCUGAGGUCGGGAAAGAGGCGCCCCGGAUCCGUGCGCAUUUGUUUGUUUGUUUGUUUGUUUUUUGAGGCGGAGUUUCGCUCUUGUUUCCCUGGUUGGACGCGAUCUCGGCUCACUGCAGCCUCCGCCUCCCGGGUUCAAGCGAUUCUCCCGCCUCAGCCCCCUGGGAUUACAGGCACGCGGCAGCACGCCCGGCUCAUUUUGUAUUUUUAGUAGAGACGGGGGUUUCUCCAUGUUGGUCAGGCUGGUCUCGAACUGCCAACUUCAUCAGGUGAUCCACCCACCUCGGCUUCGCAAAGUGCUGGGAUUACAGGCGUGAGCCACCUCGCCUGGUCAGUACUCGGUGUUUUCAGGCUCCUUUGUUAACACAGUGGAAACAACACAGGAAAAUGGAUAAGUAGGCAAUUUGUUCAAUGCUCCGCUACUUGCACUUAAGCCCGGGGCGCAGAGCAACACUUGUCUACAAU